rnacentral:rRNA from 1 species
UACGGGAGGAGCGAGCAUUAUUCAUAUUGAUUUGGCGUAAAGGGUUUGUAGGUUGUUUUUUUAGUUGAAAAAAACAUUCAAGAGUAUUCCUUUUGUAAUUUUUUCAAAACGAUAAAACUUGAGUCUAGAUAGAGGGUAAUGGAACUCCUAUUGUAGGAAUAAAAUCCUUUAAUAAUAGGAAGAAGGUCGAAAGCGAAGGCAAUUACCUGGGCUAGCACUGACACUGAGAAACGAAAGCUUGGGUAGCGAACGGG